UAGAACUGACUCAGGCUUUGUUGUUGGGCCAGCUGCAUGUAGAUGAGAUAUUGCUUAUUCUUCGAGGGCAAUGGACUACAUAAGAACAAGGAGCAUUACUGGUAUCAGAAACUCCUCUUAUAUGGAGAAAACUGAGAUAUCAUCAUAACCAAAAGUGAUCAAGGUUAAUAUAGCCUGGAAUGUGACCCAAAUUGAAGACAUUAUGUAAAAUAACGGAUCUUUGAAAUGUUGAGUUCAUGAAAACCAAAGAAAGACUGAGGAUAUCUUACAGAUUGGACAAGACUCAGGAUUUACAACAACUACAUACAAGGUGGAAUUUUGCAUCUGAUGCUGGAACAGGAACAACUAUGUAUAUCAGUGGGAAACUUGGUGAAAUCUAAAUAAAGUCUGAAAUGUAGUUAAUAGUA